rnacentral:siRNA from 1 species
AAGCAGAGAGAAAUGGAUGUUUGG